UGAAAAUAACAAACCGGAAAAGGUGUUGACGCAUUAUUGUUGUCUGUCAACAGCCCUGAUCACAUCUACCGAGACGCCACAAAGCCCACCGGGUGACCGUACGGAAACUUCACAUUACGGACUUUGGCGUCUCCUCUGUGGAAGUUGCAGCUGUGUGUGGUGUGUGAGUGUGUGUGUGUGUAGGGCUUUUCUGCAGUGUGAUGUCUUCAGAGCUGCUGGUAGAUCUGGGGGAAGACCCGACGACGGCACAGUUGGGACAGCUGAAGCUGACCACGAUAGAGGAUCAGCAGUGGCCCGCAGACGAGUCCACUCUCACCAAGUCAGAGACGGAUAUCUCCCAGCGCUUCGAUGCCGACUCCCCCCACCUGCCCUGGGACCAUCCCUUCUAUGACAUCGCCAGGCAUCAGAUCAUUGAAGUUGCAGGUGAUGAUAACUUUGGCAGGAAGGUGAUAGUGUUUAAUGCAUGCAGGAUGCCUCCACAUCACGAACUGGACCAUCACAAGCUGCUGAUGUAUCUGAAAGGAACACUGGAUCAGUAUGUUGAAAGUGAUUACACUCUGAUCUACUUCCACCACGGGCUGACCAGCGAAAACAAACCCUCUCUCAGCUGGCUGCGGGAUGCCUACAGGGAGUUUGACAGAAAGUAUAAGAAGAACAUCAAGGCUUUGUAUAUCGUCCACCCUACCAUGUUCAUCAAGACUCUGCUGAUCCUCUUCAAACCAUUUAUCAGUUUUAAGUUUGGCCGGAAGAUAAACUACGUGAGCUAUCUGAGUGAGCUGGACGAUGUGGUGAAGUGUGAGCAGCUGAUCAUACCUGCCCGGGUCAAAGAGUACGACAACAAGUUGAGAGCGUCUCUGAAAUCAGGCGUCCCGCCCCCCGUGUCUCCUCUUCAUAGUCCCCCCCUCCCCAACCAGGUGUUUGGGGUGCCACUUGUGAUACUCAAACAAAGGCAUCCAGAUGAGGAUUCAGUUCCCGUGGUGAUGAGAGACACCAUAAGCUUCCUCUCAGAGAAAGGGUUGGAGAUCGAAGGGAUCUUCAGGCGUUCUGCUAACGUGACUUUGGUGAAGGAGACGCAGCUCCAGUACAACUCGGGGGCAACAGUGAACUUCAGAGAGAUCGAAGACGUCCACCUGGCUGCUGUGAUCCUGAAGACGUUCCUGAGGGAGCUGCCUGAGCCCCUCCUCACCUACCAGCUCUACAACGACAUCGUCAACUUCAGCUCUGUGCCCAGUGAAAGCCAGGCGGAGCAGCUGAAGGCCCUGGUGGAGUCGCUGCCGGAGGAGAACUACUCGUCACUGCGCUGCCUCGUCACAUUCCUGGCUCAGGUGUCAGCCAACAGUGAGGUGAAUAAGAUGACCAACAGUAACCUGGCUGUGGUGUUUGGUCCUAACCUGCUCUGGGGGCGGGACAAUGCUAUGUCACUCAGUGCCAUUGGGCCAAUCAACAACUUCACCAGAACCCUGCUGGACCAGCAGCACCUGGUCUUCACCUGAACCCCGUCCCUCCACCCUGCAGGCUCUCUUCAAGUCAGUCCAUUAAACACUAGACACUGAAAAGAUCCUGAGGACAGGUUGAAAUAAAUUCUGCUCACACCAUUCUGUAUGUCCUGAUAGCCCACUAGCCUUGUCUUUAUGUCCAUUUCCACGUGACUCCAGGCGCCAAGAUGGAUAUAGUACAAAUAUUAGACUGCAGGCCAAUUCCCCGUACAAAAAGAACCUACAGCACACUUCAACAGUGAAUACGUUGAUGGCUUACCCUCCACUCACACUGGCUCACUUUGACGGAGGUUUUAGAUAUAUUGUUUCUAAGAAGGAUUUCAGGGUGUCACCCAGAUGAAGGUCACCAGAGAAACACCCACUGAGUAACCUCUCAGCAGAUCUGCAGUGUUCAGAAUCGUUGAAGGUGGCUCUUCAUUUUGAUCACAGAUGAUUUCUGACUUUAAUCUCAGAACUCAAGAAAGCAUUUGGUCCGAUGAAAAUAAACACACACAUGUAGUAUGUGUUGCAACAUGUUCAGUUUAUCUUCCUUGGCUUAAAUGCAGGUAAAAUAUUGAUUUUGUGGCUCCAGUGUGAAUGCAUGGUGAGUCUCACUCAACCACUGGCUGCAGUGCAGGCAGCUCUUCCAGCCCUCCAUCACACCCAACCAUCCUCCAAAAAUCCUGAACCGUGUCCUUCCCUGUAAACCUCUGCCAUAACAGCUGUAGGCAGGGCGAAUCCGCAGCAGUCCUCUGUGUUGUGGUGCCAAACGUAAAGAGGACGGAGGUGUGUGAAAGUCUCAGGUUAACUCGCAGUGAACUCGGUUUUGAGAUUUUAAAGUAACAACUCAAACGUCCGUCCCACCCCAAACAUAUUCUCCGUAGAACAGCAUACUCCUUGGAACAAUUUGAAGCCCUGUUAAUAAUGAAGUCAGUCUGAGCUGUAUUAUGGUCUCUUAGUCACGGGUAAAUCACAACAAGCUGUGCACGUAUGUAGAUAACACACGUGCAUGUCUUAAUACAACCCCAAAGGCCUGAUAGGGUUUUGCUGCUGCCACAGUAUUUUGAUAAAUAUUUCCAGUGACGAACGAAAGAGGAAACUUGACUUUGGCACACACAUUUCGGUAAGUAGAGAGCAUCCAUGGGUUGUUUGAGCGUCACAGGAAGCUGUUCUUCCAGCAGUGUUGCAAACACUUCUUUAGGACUUGAAUCACAACAUUCAAGACUUGGAGACAACUUAUUUGCUGUGCAUCCUUUGCUUAUUGGUUGUCUUUACUGCACAGGUGUGUGUCAAUGUAGUUUACGGUAGUGAUCUUAACAUGUUUCAUUCGCUGUGAUCCCUACCAGAAAGUGUUCCUGCAGGGGUCUCUGUGGUGCCUCUUCAUUCGCUUCCGAAGCCUUAAAUCCAAUGUUUUCUGCCAUCUGUCUCCAGCUCAUCUGAAGCAUUGCAUUCCACGUCAAAUAAAAGCUGAGUUGAGCAGCUCAGUGUUCUUUUGAACUGUAGUUGUGUAGUGUUAUGCGGUGUAUGACCUAGAUAUUUGACCUCUGUUGUCUCCUUCUCUGUGGUCGUGACCUUGAUGUUAAGUCUCCUGGCCAAACUGUGCAUCGAAUCAGUCGUGUUUGUUUGUUUAUAGCCAAAAUACUAGCCUUGGGUAAAUAUAAGUAUUGUAUUUUUUUAUAAGGCUUAAUAAGAUGUGGCUGAAAAGCACGGAAAUAUGAGAGCUGAAGUUGACUGAAGCUGAACUCGAUCUUUAAUGUAGUCCGAUGGUGUGUGUUAGGCUAACUCAGCUGGACACUGCUCAGCUGAGUAGAAACAAUGUCAGGGUUUAAAUAUUGAGUGUAGUAGAAUAAAUCCUGUGUGUGUGUGUGUAUUAAUGUUCAGUGCAAUGGUCUCUCCAAUCUUGGUGAUGUUCAUUCUUUGAUAUGGGAAAGUUGUACAGCUCAAACUUUAUUGUAAAGCAGCAGAAAUGAUAUGAACGUUUUCCAUCACCUCGGAGGUACAAGUGUUUAACACAAGUGUGUGUGUGUGGCCAUGUGUGUGUGACCAUGUGUGUGUGACCAUGUGCAUGCCCUUGCCUUAUUUGUUCAAGUGAUCAUGUGGAUUAGCCAUUGAAGUGCCAGUGCACCCAAAACAGUUCCCCAGAUUCAGUGACGUACCUCUCUAAUCCAGGGGGUCCUAGAAGCCUUUAUAGGGCUGAGUGAGCAGGCUGUGCUGAUCAACCAUGUUGUUGCUAGCGAGCUAACAGCUAUAGUCACCUCAGGGCACGGCACAUCUGACAUUCAAAUCCACACACUCUGCCGUUAGCAUCAACAACGGGACAGAGGUGCUUUGGACCGAACACCCAGAGGGGACGAUGGAGCUCCAAGGCCUGUUGAACCCAGCUCUGACCUCAGAGAUAUUUCAUUUCUGGUAUUACAGAAUAAUUGUACAAUUUCAAUCAGGAUGAGUCAUUGUUCUCCCUUGACUUAUGUCUCGCAGCAUGGCCCGACUGCUCCCAAACAUGCUGUCAUUUUCCUAACACCCAUUAUUGGUCUUUAAUUUCUGCAGUCUCUAGUCAACCAAGUAUUAGAUUAUAAUCCAGGAAGAUUUUUAUCCUUUUACAACUUGGAUCUUCAGUGUGAUGUUGUUGCACGAGCUGUUCUCUGAUCAGAAUAGAAACCAGCUCUAUUUUAAUCAUCCCCUAAUAUCCUUUCGUCAUGGCAACAAUCCUAUUGGUUUCUGGGUGGAUAUACUGAGAGGUGCUCUUGUGUUCUUAACCACUUUCGUUCAUUACUUACUUUUGAUAUGUUGUGGAUAUUUGUUCUGUGUUAUUAAAAUGGUAGAACUGUAAUAUCAUGUGUGCAAACAAUAAAGGAAAAGAGACUGAUGUGA